rnacentral:rRNA from 1 species
CAAAAACAUUGCUUUUUAUAUUUAAUAAAAAGUAUGGUCUGCCCAGUGAGUAAUUUUAACGGCCGCAAUAUUUGUGCGAAGGUAGCAUAAUCAUUUGUCUUUUAAUUGAUGACUGGAAUGAAUGGCUGGACGGAGAAAAGCUGUCUCUUUUAUAUUUUUUAAAAAUUUACUUUCAAGUUAAAAGGCUUGAAUAAUAUAGAGGGACGAGAAGACCCUAUUGAGUUUUAUAGCUAAACUUCAAAUUUUUCUUUAAUUUUAAAUAAUAGCUAUUUAGUUGGGGUGACUUUAUAAUAAAAUCUAUAUUAGAAUUAAUAGACAUUAAGUUAUUAGGAUCCAUAAUUUAUGAUAAAUAGAUUAAAUUACCUUAGGGAUAACAGCGUAAUAUUUUUUUAGAGUUCAAAUCGAUUAAAAUGCUUACGACCUCGAUGUUGGAUUAAAGAACCUAAUUUGGAGAAGAAGCUAAUUUAGGUAGUCUGCUUGACUAUUAAAUCUUUAC